rnacentral:rRNA from 1 species
UGCCCUAGUAACGGCGAGUGAAGCGGCAACAGCUCAAAUUUGAAAGCUGGCCUUCGGGUCCGCAUUGUAAUUUGUAGAGGAUGCUUUGGGUGAAACGCCAGUCUAAGUUCCUUGGAACAGGACGUCAUAGAGGGUGAGAAUCCCGUAUGUGACUGGAAAUGUUAACCUAUGUAAAGCUCCUUCGACGAGUCGAGUUGUUUGGGAAUGCAGCUCUAAAUGGGAGGUAAAUUUCUUCUAAAGCUAAAUAUUGGCGAGAGACCGAUAGCGCACAAGUAGAGUGAUCGAAAGAUGAAAAGCACUUUGGAAAGAGAGUUAAAAAGCACGUGAAAUUGUUGAAAGGGAAGCGCUUGCAAUCAGACUUGUUUAAACUGUUCGGCCGGUCUUCUGACCGGUUUACUCAGUUUGGACAGGCCAGCAUCAGUUUCGGCGGCCGGAUAAAGGCUCUGGGAAUGUGGCCUUCACUUCGGUGAAGGUGUUAUAGCCCAGGGUGUAAUACGGCCAGCCGGGACUGAGGUCCGCGCUUCGGCUAGGAUGCUGGCGUAAUGGUUGUAAGCGACCCGUCUUGAAACACGGACCAAGGAGUCUAACAUCUAUGCGAGUGUUCGGGUGUCAAACCCCUGCGCGUAAUGAAAGUGAACGGAGGUGGGAACCGCAAGGUGCACCAUCGACCGAUCCUGAUGUCUUCGGAUGGAUUUGAGUAAGAGCAUAGCUGUUGGGACCCGAAAGAUGGUGAACUAUGCCUGAAUAGGGUGAAGCCAGAGGAAACUCUGGUGGAGGCUCGCAGCGGUUCUGACGUGCAAAUCGAUCGUCAAAUUUGGGUAUAGGGGCGAAAGACUAAUCGAAC